CAAACAUAUGGCAACUUUUGGAGCUACCUGCUUUCCAGCUGUUAUUGCUCUCUCUGGAGUCCAGAAUGGACACAAGUGGAUAUGAAAAAUUCCACAAAUUGCAUCUGAAAUGCCACCCCCCAGACAUGAACAAUGAAAACAAACUCCUAUAACAAGCAAAACAGACUUCCACAUUAGUGAUGCUCAAAAAUGUGAAUGUGUUUCAGAGACAAAGUGGCCCAGGUUAUAACCUGUGAAUUUCAAAAAUUCAGAAGAGCUUUCAAAAGUCUCCUUGGCAACCAGAGCUUGUAGCAUUUGGAGCUAAGUCUUUGUGAAGAAUCAGCUCUGAGGAGUAACUUCAGUCCAUUAGGAAAUUGACCUGCCAGCUAAUAUACUAUGUUCUGAAAGUGAGAUUUCUUAUCCAUUGGGUUCUGAACUUGGUGGUAGGGGGAAUGUUUUAUAACAAAUGUUUUAAAUUUGGGUUCAUUUCCUUGAUAACUAAGUUCUUGUGCUUCAGUCUUUG
rnacentral:lncRNA from 1 species